UCCACAGCUUUCUUGAACUGUGUUUGGGGAGCUUCUUCAGAGGAAAGUGAUGAUCCCAUGCAAAAAAAAUGACACACACAAUUCAAGAAAGCUGUGGAAAAUUGCUGAUAGGAUCUGUAGUUAAUUAAUUACUCUAUAUAUUUAUAUGUAUAAUAUUAAUUAAUCUUUUGUCCCUUUGAACCACUGAUCUGCCUAUAUAUGGUUAUUGGUUUUCUCAAAAUUUUCAUGGCUUCAAGAUAUCUGCAGAAAUGAUUGAGAACCUCCAUCUCGAUCAGGAAAUCCACAAGAAAAUAGUUUUUUUAAUGAUCUGCUCACAGAGAUCAUAGCGUGCCCACUGGGAAAAUCAGGCAUUGGUUAAAUCAUCACAAACAUGAACUGGCCGGCCGUGAUACACAAAGUGGAUUAUGGUACUUUAGUUUGGUGAAGGAAAUAAUGGAGACUGCAUUGCCCAAAGAGGGGUCAGCGUACGUGGCCAUUGUCACUCAAUGUCUACAAGUAGUAGCCAGCAUGUUGCGUACGUCAACAUUUGGCCAUGUAAUUUAACCUCUUUUUGGUACAUAUAAUUG